UGUGUGUGUCUGUGUGUGUGUGUGUGACAGAGAGAGCUUUGCUUUCACGCCUUGCCGAGCACUGAAAGAGUAUCUGUCACACAGAACAAGCCAGAAGACAGAGCGUAAAAGUUAGGCAAAAAGAAAGAGACAAGGGGGGGAAAAGACAGAGGAAGAGAAAGAAAAGAGGAGGAAGAAGAGAUAGAGAAAGAGUUUGCUGAAAGCAGCUUCUGUCUACCGUCCCACCCCCUGACUGUCUUCCCCUCCUCUCUGCCCCGGCCGGGAGCGAAAGGAAAAAAAAAAGAAAAGGAGUGCAGAGUGUGUGAGAGAGAGAGAGAGAGAGAGAGAGAGAGCUGAACCACGCUCGCUCUUUAGCGCAGGACUCAGGAAUUCCGGGACCUUUGGAGUUGUGCGCACACACACGCACACACAUACACACACAUGCUGCUUUUUCUCGUGGUGAUACAAAUCUCAACAGGAUUCAGGGAGGGAGUAUAAGCAGGAGAGAGGGAGAGAGAAAUUAGAGAAUAGCCCUUUCCAGCCCUUUCCUGUGGACUAUUUGACCAUGAUGGCACCUGCCAAGGGGGACGUGUAAGGAGGGGCUGAGGCAGAGGAAGCUGCUGAUGAAGGACACACAGAGACAGCGUAGAGAACAUCAUACAUGUAAUGGCUUUCACGCUGUAGUCACAGGUUGUGUUGUCUUCAAUCAUUUGACAUCAGACAGCAGCAAAGUGGACAUUUAUUUAACCUAACAGCUCCUGUGGGUUCAAGGCGGGUCCACUGAUUGCCUUGUGAUGAAUUGACCACGGAGGAAAACCCAUUAACCUUCCUCGUAACCCUUCCCUCGGCCUGAAAUAACCACCAGGUCAGCAGAAAGUAGGUAACAAAUGUGCAAGGCAGAGACUUGAGAAAAGUAUGACACAAUAACCGAUGUGUCUGCAGACCACGGGAUAAAUACCUUCCAUCGGACCGUCAGUGUUAGCUCGGUCUUAGCUGAAAGAAGCGUGGAGUGAAGUGACCAGUAAGACAAACAGCAUAGAACUGAUGAGGCCAUAAGUAUAAGGGUGUAAAACAGGGAGAGACUGGGCAGCAAUGUCAGUUUUCCUUUGUUUGAAAUAUUUAAUGAGUUUCUGCGCUCUCUUGAAAUAUUGACUUUUUCCCAUAUAGCCGG